rnacentral:rRNA from 1 species
GUCGAGGGGUAACAGAGGGUGCUUGCACUUUGCUGACGACCGGCGCACGGGUGCGUAACGCGUAUGCAACCUACCUUUUACUGGAGGAUAGUCAAUAGAAAUGUUGAAUAAUACUCCAUACGAUCUUUGAGUGGCAUUACUUAAAGAAGAAAGCUCCGGCGGUAAAAGAUGGGCAUGCGUCCUAUUAGUUAGUUGGUGAGGUAACGGCUCACCAAGACAUCGAUAGGUAGGGGCCCUGAGAGGGGGAUCCCCCACACUGGUACUGAGACACGGACCAGACUCCUACGGGAGGCAGCAGUGAGGAAUAUUGGACAAUGGAGGCAACUCUGAUCCAGCCAUGCCGCGUGCAGGAAGACUGCCCUAUGGGUUGUAAACUGCUUUUAUACAGGAAGAAACCUACUUACGUGUAAGUAGCUGACGGUACUGUAAGAAUAAGGAUCGGCUAACUCCGUGCCAGCAGCCGCGGUAAUACGGAGGAUCCAAGCGUUAUCCGGAAUCAUUGGGUUUAAAGGGUCCGUAGGUGGUCCAUUAAGUCAGAGGUGAAAUCCUAUCGCUCAACGAUAGAACUGCCUUUGAAACUGAUAGACUUGAGUUAUUGUGAAGUAGUUAGAAUAUGUAGUGUAGCGGUGAAAUGCAUAGAUAUUACAUAGAAUACCGAUUGCGAAGGCAGAUUACUAACAAUAUACUGACACUGAGGGACGAAAGCGUGGGUAGCGAACAGGAUUAGAUACCCUGGUAGUCCACGCCGUAAACGAUGGUCACUAGCUGUUUGACCAACAUUGGUUGGUUGAGUGGCUAAGCGAAAGUGAUAAGUGACCCACCUGGGGAGUAC